GCUGGAAAGCCUGUUCACAUAUCAAAUAAAAGUUUUAUCGACUAUAUUUUCACUCGUAGUUUGGAGGUUGCUCUACUUUUUGACUUGCCAAUGCAGAUACAUACAGGGACUGUGCUUGAGGCCAAGAGAUUUUCUAAAAGCCGCAUUGUUCUUUUACAUGCAUCCUACCCGUUUUCAAAGGAAGCAUCAUAUCUAGCCUCUGUUUAUCCCCAGGUCUACCUCGACUUUGGCUUGGGUA